rnacentral:rRNA from 1 species
CCUACGGGUGGCAGCAGUGGGGAAUCUUGCGCAAUGGGCGAAAGCCUGACGCAGCGACGCCGCGUGAGGGAAGAAGGCCUUCGGGUUGUAAACCUCUUUCAGGAGGGACGAAGCCACUCGGGUGAACAGCCGGGGGUGACGGUACCUCCAGAAGAAGCCCCGGCUAACUACGUGCCAGCAGCCGCGGUAAUACGUAGGGGGCAAGCGUUGUCCGGAUUGAUUGGGCGUAAAGCGCGUGUAGGCGGCUCGGUAAGUCCGCUGUAAAAGUCCAGGGCUCAACCCUGGAAUGCCGGUGGAAACUGUCGAGCUAGAGUCCGGAAGAGGAGAGUGGAAUUCCUGGUGUAGCGGUGAAAUGCGCAGAUAUCAGGAGGAACACCCAUGGCGAAGGCAGCUCUCUGGGACGGUACUGACGCUGAGACGCGAAAGCGUGGGGAGCGAACAGGAUUAGAUACCCGAGUAGUCC